rnacentral:rRNA from 1 species
CCUACGGGUGGCAGCAGUGGGGGAUAUUGCACAAUGGGGGAAACCCUGAUGCAGCGACGCCGCGUGGGUGAAGAAGCGCCUCGGCGCGUAAAGCUCUGUCAGCAGGGAAGAAAAUGACGGUACCUGAAGAAGAAGCCCCGGCUAAUUACGUGCCAGCAGCCGCGGUAAUACGGAGGGGGCCAGCGUUAUCCGGAUUUACUGGGUGUAAAGGGGGCGCAGACGGCGAGGCAAGCCAGGAGUGAAAGCCCGGGGCCCAACCCCGGGACUGCACUUGGAACUGGGUGGCUAGAGUGCAGGAGGGGCAGGCGGAAUUCGUGGUGUAGCGGUGAAAUGCGUAGAUAUCAGGAGGAACACCGGUGGCGAAGGCGGCCUGCUGGACUGCAACUGACGUUGAGGCCCGAAAGCGUGGGGAGCAAACAGGAUUAGAUACCCUAGUAGUC